ensembl:snoRNA Y75B7AL.9 ncRNA
CCACUCAACUGGUGGUUGUGAGAAAAAGCUGAUUAGGAAUUUGAAUGAGUUUGUGGUCAUAAAUUUCCAUUUCAAAACAGAAAAUUUUU